GUUUUUUGGGGUUUCUCUCAUCUUGAAAGCUUGGGUUUAGGAGAAUUCAAGGAUGUUCUUCAAGUUUCUUCCAUGGGACUUUCUUGAUCUCGAGGCUCAAAGGAAAGGAAAGGCUAUAGUGUGAUUGUUGGUGAUUUUGUUGUUCGGCCUUCCAGAGUUCCAGGUAGGGUCGACCUCUAAUUUUCGUGGCCGAUUGCGGUGCGAGAGUUGCUGCUGAGAGUCUACAGGGUGAGCACGAGGACAUCCGCCGCCUUGGAGAUUCUUUCCUUAUUUUAUGUCUUCUUUGAUAUUCCAAGACAUAUUCAGACUUUUGAUGUAUUAUUGAGAUUUUCAGACUCGUAGAUGUUAGCUAGUUGCUCUUGUAUGAUUAGACAGAUUUCUGGGGUGGUUUGAUGUACUUCUGCAUAUUCUAUCUAUUAUUAUGUCAGACUUACGUA